rnacentral:rRNA from 1 species
GACGAACGCUGGCGGCGUGCUUAACACAUGCAAGUCGAACGGAAAGGCCCUGCUUUUGUGGGGUGCUCGAGUGGCGAACGGGUGAGUAACACGUGAGUAACCUGCCCUUGACUUUGGGAUAACUUCAGGAAGCUGGGGCUAAUACCGGAUAGGAGCUCCUGCUGCAUGGUGGGGAUUGGAAAGUUUCGGCGGUUGGGGAUGGACUCGCGGCUUAUCAGCUUGUUGGUGGGGUAGUGGCUUACCAAGGCUUUGACGGGUAGCCGGCCUGAGAGGGUGACCGGCCACAUUGGGACUGAGAUACGGCCCAGACUCCUACGGGAGGCAGCAGUGGGGAAUAUUGCACAAUGGGCGGAAGCCUGAUGCAGCAACGCCGCGUGCGGGAUGACGGCCUUCGGGUUGUAAACCGCUUUCGCCUGUGACGAAGCGUGAGUGACGGUAAUGGGUAAAGAAGCACCGGCUAACUACGUG